GACGUAGGGCGCGAGCGUUGUCCGGAUUUAUUGGGCGUAAAGAGCUCGUAGGCGGCUUGUCGCGUCGGCUGUGAAAUCCCGUGGCUCAACUGUGGGCGGGCAGCUGAUACGGGCAGGCUGGAGUUCGGUAGGGGAGACUGGAAUUCCCGGUGUAGUGGUGGAAUGCGUAGAUAUCGGGAGGAACACCAGUGGCGAAGGCGGUUACCUGGGGCUUUGCUGACGCUGAUGCGCGAAAGCGUGGGGAGCGAUCCGG
rnacentral:rRNA from 1 species